UUAGACAUAUUGUCUGAUUAUCUCAUUCUCUAAAUACAGGUUGGAAGUUUUCAUAAAUUCUUUCUUGGAAGAGAUAGGAGAAUUAGGAUGAUCUCCUCUAGGGAAAUAAAUGGGAUAUGACUCUACACCUCUCUGAAAAGUCAUGAACUUGUUCUACUUUCAGUAUAAUGACGGAGUUUUGCUCUUGUUACCCAGGCUGGAGUGCAAUGGCGUGAUCUCGGCUCACCGCAACCUCCGCCUCCUGAGUUCAGGCAAUUCUCCUGCCUCAGCCUCCUGAGUAGCUGGGAUUACAGGCACGCGCCACCAUGCCCAGCUAAUUUUUUGUAUUUUUAGUAGAGAUGGGGUUUCACCAUGUUGACCAGGAUGGUCUCGAUCUCUUGACCUCGUGAUCCACCCGCCUCGGCCUCCCAAAGUACUGGGAUUACAGGCUUGAGCCACCGCGCCUUGCCCCCAAAAAACUUUUAUUAUACAGAUUAGUUUCCUAUUGGCUUUAACAGACAAAACAUUUGAAUAAGUGUCAUAAUGCUGCCAUUGCUCUCAGAAUCCACCUUAGAGCAUAUUAUCAGGAUGAGGAGUGAAUCUGUCUAUACUGUUGCAACUUGAGACAGUCUGAGAGGCUUGCUAUGAAAAUGGCCGAAGCACUGGGUGGAAACACAUCUACGUUACUCAUUUUAGAUCAGAAUAUGUGGGUGCCAUUCUAAACCCCAUUGAUAUUUCACACAUGAGUAGAAUAAAUAUAGCACAGGGCGUGCUUCA
rnacentral:lncRNA from 13 species